AACGCAAGUUGCGCCCGAAGCCUUUAGGCCGAGGGCACGUCUGCCUGGGUGUCACGCACCGUUGCCCCCCCAAAAUGAACCCGCUGCUCAAGCGGACAUCCGACGGGGGGAGGAUAUUGGCCUCCCGUGCGAUUCUGUUCUCGCGGUUGGCCGAAAUACAGGUCCUCGGAAGCGGACGCCGCGACAUUCGGUGGUGGAAUGAAAAGGAAACCCUCGAGCUCCCGUCGCUGCGGCGCUACCGAUCAUAGGAUCACAUGACCCUACGAAAGCCUCUCCAUCGAGGCGCACACGCAUCGCGACCCCAGGUCAGGCGGGAUCACCCGCUGAGUUUAA
rnacentral:misc_RNA from 1 species